rnacentral:rRNA from 1 species
UACGUAGGUGGCAAGCGUUGUCCGGAUUUAUUGGGUUUAAAGGGUGCGUAGGCGGCCCUGUAAGUCAGUGCUGAAAUAUCCCAGCUUAACUGGGAGGGUGGCAUUGAUACUGCGGGGCUAGAGUACAGAUGAGGUAGGCGGAAUUGACGGUGUAGCGGUGAAAUGCUUAGAUAUCGUCAAGAACACCUAUAGCGAAGGCAGCUUACUAGGCUGUAACUGACGCUGAGGAGCGAAAGCGUGGGUAGCAAACAGG